UACGGGGGGAGCAAGCGUUGUUCGGAUUUACUGGGCGUAAAGCGCACGUAGGCGGCUUUGUAAGUUAGAGGUGAAAGCCCAGGGCUUAACCCUGGAAUUGCCUUUAAGACUGCAUCGCUAGAAUCGUGGAGAGGUGAGUGGAAUUCCGAGUGUAGAGGUGAAAUUCGUAGAUAUUCGGAAGAACACCAGUGGCGAAGGCGACUCACUGGACACGUAUUGACGCUGAGGUGCGAAAGCGUGGGGAGCAAACAGG
rnacentral:rRNA from 1 species